UUGUGUGUAAUGCUUCUUGCCUAGCAAUGAAAAGGAAAGUUGUAUGGCAUUAACCAUUGUUAAUGAACCUUAAACAUGUUUUGCAUGACUCUUUUGUAUUAGCCUAUGUGUGUAGAUAGAUAGCUGUUGCUGCUGUAUUAGGAAAGUGGUGAGAAGACACACCCUAUGAAUCUGUCUUGGUGUGCAGGGGUGCGCAUUACCAGUUCUAGCCAAGAGAUAGCUGGAUUAUUUUCUGGUGAUAUUUAUUUGAAAGCCAGAAGAUGGACCUUUUCGUUGAAAGGUCUUUUUUACACUUAUAAUUUCCAAGUUUGUCCCGUACACUUCCAUCGAUGGCACAUUACCCAGAGCUUGGGAUUUUGAAAACAUCGUUGUAUCCUCCUUCCAAGUGUCAAUGAAGAUUGGUCAAGCAACUGGGCAUUCGAACCAACGUGCAUGGCGUCGUAGAGUGGAUACUAAGUGAACAUUAAUCACAUCAUGGUGAGCUGUAUCAAUUCAAAUUAAACUGACGAACAAUGACUCUAAUGAGAAGUGAACUACUUCACACUUUUGAGAGUGAUCACGAAACCAUUGAUAAAUUCUGUCAACAAGUGAAUUGCCCAAACGUUAUUGUAUUGGCCAAGAUGUAUUACAGAGCCAGUGAAAGCGUUACAGCUUGAGUUUAGUCUGAUUGUACAGAAUAGUUUGAGAGUUUAUUGACUCUCCGCAUGGAACAUCCAUAGUUGUAUUAAGAGGAUUGAGAGUUGGGAGAGAAUGGUCAUUGGAAGUGAGAUAUGUGGACAGUACAGGUCCACUAUACUCAUAUUUUAUGACAGAUCAUUGUAUUCGGAAGAGAAUUAUUACUUAUAAAUUGGAGUGUAGUCAUGGUAGUGAGGAAUUACAAGUAGUAACUCCUCAUGUGUUCAACUUAAUCUGAGGGGCUUGUUUAAACCCUGAAUUCCAUACUGAUACUGGUAUCGUUGAUUUAUGAGAAUUUUGUAAAUGUGCGCACAUAAUAUCUGACAAGUGGUUAUGUAUACGAAAGGACCGUAUCACCGAUGUGUAAGUGGUGAAUUUGGAUACUUGGAAUUUACUUAUGAUUAAAUGAUUGAUUUGUGGAGAUCGUAAAUGGCAUGUGUUUGUUAUCCUUAUU